rnacentral:snoRNA from 1 species
GUGCAGAUGAUGUGAAUGAUUUUUUUUCCACUGAGUAAACUGAUGCUUCCAAAGGAACCACUGAUGCAC